AAAAUAGGCCCUUGGAUGCCAGUCAGAGUGGCUGGGUGUGCGGCCGCCACACGCCCCACGGACCAGCACCUCCUGACCCGGCCAGGACCCAGUGAGCACAGACUGCUGCUAAGUCACUUCAGUCGUGUCCGACUCUGUGCGACCCCAGAGAUGGCAAUCCACCAGGCUCCGCCGUCCCUGGGAUUCUCCAGCUGCAGAAAGGAAAGAAAAUCCCUUGGCUCCAAAAUGACAUCUGGAGAAUCGAAGACAGGCCUCAAGAACGUCUACCCAUCUGCCAAGAAGCUGCUGCCGAAGGUGGAGGAGGAGGCGGAGGCUGAGGAUUACUGUACUCCUGGAGCCUUCGAGCUGGAGCGUCUCUUCUGGAAAGGCAGUCCCCAGUACACCCACGUCAACGAGGUCUGGCCCAAGCUCUACAUCGGUGAUGAGGCAACCGCGCUGGACCGCUAUGGGCUGCAGAAGGCAGGCUUCACCCACGUGCUGAACGCUGCCCACGGCCGCUGGAACGUGGACACGGGGCCCGACUACUACCGUGAUAUGGCCAUUGAGUAUCAUGGCGUCGAGGCCGAUGACCUGCCCACCUUUGACCUCAGCAUCUUCUUCUACCCAGCUGCCGCUUUCAUUGACGCUGCCCUCCGCUAUGAUCACAAUAAGAUCCUGGUUCACUGCGCCAUGGGCCGCAGCCGGUCGGCGACUCUGGUCCUGGCCUACCUGAUGAUCCACAGGAACAUGACCCUGGUGGACGCCAUCCGACAAGUGGCCAAGAACCGCUGUGUCCUACCCAACCGGGGCUUUCUGAAGCAGCUCCGGGAACUGGACAGGCAGCUGGUGCAGCAGAGGCGCCAGGCCCAGCACGGGGAGGACGCCGGGAAGAGCUGUGAGCAGGAGCCGUAGGGGCCCCUCGCGGGGCCAGCCGGACGUUUGGGAACGGAGAGGGAAGGCUGAAAACAGCUCUGCCCCGUGACUUGCUUUGUCGCAGAGAAGGGACAUGAAACCAAAGCUUGACUCCUUCCAAUCAAUCUUAAACUUCCCGGGGGCUGGGGAACAGGGGGGCAUUCACAGUGGGCUCCGGGACGAGCCCGGCGCCUGGCUUCCCUGCAAAUGGCGCGGACCGGCUUCCCAGCACAGUUGCUUACAGGCUGAUGCUGGAACGCCCUCCUCGGCACUGGCUUCCUGCUGUCCUCCUCCACUUCCGUCUCACAGGUAGGCUCCAGCUGUGGCAUUGGCCUCUCUUCGUCUGAGUUGUCAAAGGGCUCAUUCAGUACUUCUGUCGUCUCAGAAAUGGUCUCAGUUGUUACACUGCUGUUGAUCCUCCUGCGUUUACGACCCCUUUUCUUCUUUACUACAAAAGGCCUCUGAAAUUAAUUCAAAACAUAUAUACAUCAGAGCUCAUAAGAAAUUACAUUGCUGAGUUGAUAUGUGGCAAACAUGUACUGAACGCGUGUCUGAGACUUACACGUAAAGACUUCUGUAAUGCCUUUGUACUUAACCUUCCAUUUGAUGUUUAACAUCCCUCUCGGGCGCCUACUACACAAAGUGUUUUCCAAAUAAAACAGUUGUUUACCCAAGCAGAU